UACGUAGGGGGCAAGCGUUAUCCGGAUUUACUGGGUGUAAAGGGAGCGUAGACGGCGGGGCAAGUCUGGAGUGAAAGGCCGGGGCCCAACCCCGGGACCGCUCUGGAAACUGCCCGGCUGGAGUGCGGGAGAGGUAAGCGGAAUUCCUAGUGUAGCGGUGAAAUGCGUAGAUAUCGCGCAGAACUCCGAUUGCGAAGGCAGCAUGCCGGCUCCACACUGACGCUGAGGCACGAAAGCGUGGGUAUCGAACAGG
rnacentral:rRNA from 1 species